UGAAGUUUUAGAAAGCAGCAUUUUUUACUGUUUUUACACCCAUUCCAACUAUGAUAACAUUGACAUAGUACAGUUUAUUUUCAUCCUUUGGCUUCAUUUAUAUUUUUCUUUGAUGGUUAGUUUAUUGUGCAGUAUUAUUUUUGGGUAUUUAAAUUUCAGUUUUUAACUGUCUUUUGAGUUGAUGAUUAUGUCAUAAGUCAGAAAGUAGACCAUGCACUGCCAUGUAGGUAAUUGCUGUAAAUGCCACUUCAUCUUUAUAGUAGAGUAACUGUGUAGGAGGCUAGCUGGACUUUCACAUGACAGCUUCUGUAUCUAGUGUAUAUAUACAUGUAUACAACAUGAUAGAUAUUUGCCAUGUAUUCUCUCUAGUCAGUAUUUAUUUAUUUUUUGUUUAUGUGUAUUUGUUAGCAACACUCUUAUAGAACUAUGUGAACGUGGUAUUUUGCCCUAUGUAUAUAUAAUGUAAAAACACCCUCUUCCUAAUAAAUCCUUUGUAUUUGUGAUCACAUGCAGAUGGUUGUAUUGAGCGGUUGUAAAUCCUGCUCACAAAUGAAAGAGUAAAAAGUCAUUAUCUGAAAAGAAUCCUAUCAUUUCCUCCCCCUGGUAGCUCAGAUCAAAUACUAGUAUAAACGGGAGUUCCUUACCAUAAUGAAAUUGUCUGUCAUCAUCAGAUAGUUUAUUCUAGUUGGUUGAUUUAGUGUGCUUUUGUUCAUUGGUCAUGUGUGAGAGUUUUCCCCCUUCCUGUAUUUCAUGUGAUUGUAUGUUUAUUUUCUGCACUUCCAUGUACUAUACCUGUAUUUGUAUGGGUAAAGAUUCUCAAGUGCUUAUGGCAGGGUCCCAGUGUAAAAGAUUGGGAUUUUUAGCAUAAUAUUUAUUUUUUAUUCCAUAUUUCAUUAUCAGAAUGUGUAAAACCUCACAAACAGGCAAUAAACUGGUGAUUAAUAAAUAUUGCAAAACAUU
rnacentral:misc_RNA from 1 species